rnacentral:rRNA from 1 species
AGGGAAUAUUGGACAAUGGACGAAAGUCUGAUCCAGCAAUGCCGCGUGAGUGAUGAAGGCCUUAGGGUUGUAAAGCUCUUUUAGUGGGGAAGAUAAUGACGGUACCCACAGAAAAAGCACCGGCUAACUUCGUGCCAGCAGCCGCGGUAAUACGAAGGGUGCAAGCGUUGUUCGGAAUUACUGGGCGUAAAGCGCGCGUAGGCGGCUUAAUAAGUUGGGAGUGAAAUCCCGGGGCUCAACUCCGGAAUUGCUUUCAAAACUAUUAAGCUAGAGUAUGGUAGGGGAUAGUGGAAUUCCUAGUGUAGAGGUGAAAUUCGUAGAUAUUAGGAGGAACACCAGUGGCGAAAGCGACUGUCUGGGCCAUUACUGACGCUGAGGCGCGAAAGCGUGGGGAGCAAAC